UUAAUGGCUUGUAGUUUCCUAUGAUACUAAUGAGGCAGGCUAGUUUAUGACUGUUUUGUUCUCUUUUUUCUAUCUCCUCCCGUGCGCCCUCUGAGCAGAUAGCAGUACUCGUCACAUGUGCUUGCUUCAGGAAACUGGUUGAAGACCACCCUUCCUCCAGCCUUGUAUCCUGACCUUCUCUCCAAAUUACAUCUCUCAGGGAGCAGCCACCCUGCCCUGCUUGUUCCGGUUCUGUUCUUGUGAUCCUCACUUCUGAGAGGUCUCCAUGACCAUAAAUCACAGAUAUUUCUUUCCCUUUAUGGGUCACACCUGGAGUUGCAAACACACUGACAGCUCCUGAAUGAUCUGAUACAGGAUCCUUAAUAGGUGUGGAAGUGUUCGCCAGACAGAGAGGUCCUGCCCUUGCCGAUCCCAGCUGGUUCUGUGUUAGAGACUCCGUGGGCGUCUGUUUGACAGUACCUGCCAGGAGUUGCAGAAUAACUUUUCUGAUCUGGAAGAGCAAAUCUCAGAUAUUUUGCACAUUCACAAGUAUUUUAAAACAGUUUCUGUAAGAUGCCAACAUCACCUUUAUAGUAUUUUGAGGUUUUCCAGUGUUUACUGAGAAGAGCUCAGUUGUGUUUAUACCGAAUUUCAGGUGAGUUUCUUGACCACCCUUCUCACUUUACCACCAGCUUUGCUCUGGGCCCCUAACUGUAUCGCCCGAGGAUCCCGUGGAUUCAGGUGACUGGUGCCCUUCAGGUUUCAUUUGCGAGGACCCAUCUUCUUCCUGGGAUUUUGGCUGGUGUCUUUCUUCUGCUAAACCAGAUUUGCUACUUCCUUUAAGAUUCCAUUCAAAACUCUCUCUUCUCAGGAACCUUUCCUGAAAACCCAACUCCCUAUGCUGAUUUGCUGAUUUUUUCCUCAUGAUCCUUCCCUAUGCCCUUGGUAAAAUGAAGUUUGACAAACACAACUCUAUGGCAAUGAACAUUUGCAUUCAUAUAACUUUUCUCUUCUCUUUUUUUUUUUUUUGGAGAUGAAGUCUCUGUCAGCCAGGCUAGAGUG